AGAGUUUGAUCAUGGCUCAGAUUGAACGCUGGCGGCAUGCCUAACACAUGCAAGUCGAACGGUAACAGGCCUUCGGGUGCUGACGAGUGGCGGACGGGUGAGUAAUACAUAGGAAUCUGCCUAGUAGUGGGGGACAACCCGGGGAAACUCGGGCUAAUACCGCAUACGCCCCACGGGGGAAAGCGGGGGAUCGUAAGACCUCGCGCUAUUAGAUGAGCCUAUGUCGGAUUAGCUAGUUGGUAGGGUAAUGGCCUACCAAGGCAACGAUCCGUAGCUGGUCUGAGAGGACGAUCAGCCACACUGGGACUGAGACACGGCCCAGACUCCUACGGGAGGCAGCAGUGGGGAAUCUUGGACAAUGGGGGAAACCCUGAUCCAGCAAUGCCGCGUGUGUGAAGAAGGCCUUCGGGUUGUAAAGCACUUUCGAUAGGGAAGAAAAGCUGACCGUGAAUAACGGUUAGUCUUGACGUUACCUAGAGAAGAAGCACCGGCUAACUCUGUGCCAGCAGCCGCGGUAAUACAGAGGGUGCAAGCGUUAAUCGGAAUUACUGGGCGUAAAGCGCGCGUAGGCGGUUCGAUAAGUCGGGUGUGAAAGCCCCGGGCUCAACCUGGGAAUUGCAUUCGAUACUGUCGAGCUAGAGUAUGGUAGAGGAAAGCGGAAUUCCACAUGUAGCGGUGAAAUGCGUAGAUAUGUGGAGGA
rnacentral:rRNA from 1 species